GAUGAACGCUGGCGGCGCGCUUAACACAUGCAAGUCGAACGGAAAGGCCGAAGCUUGCUUCGGUACUCGAGUGGCGAACGGGUGAGUAACACGUGGGUGAUCUGCCCUGUACUUCGGGAUAAGCUUGGGAAACUGGGUCUAAUACCGGAUAUGACGAUCUCUUGGAUGGGGUUGUGGAAAGCUUUUGCGGUAUGGGAUGAGCUCGCGGCCUAUCAGCUUGUUGGUGGGGUAAUGGCCUACCAAGGCGUCGACGGGUAGCCGGCCUGAGAGGGUGUACGGCCACAUUGGGACUGAGAUACGGCCCAGACUCCUACGGGAGGCAGCAGUGGGGAAUAUUGCACAAUGGGCGCAAGCCUGAUGCAGCGACGCCGCGUGGGGGAUGACGGCCUUCGGGUUGUAAACUCCUUUCGCAAUCGACGAAGCCUUUUGGUGACGGUAGGUUGAGAAGAAGCACCGGCUAACUACGU
rnacentral:rRNA from 1 species